rnacentral:rRNA from 1 species
GUGGGGAAUAUUCCGCAAUGGACGAAAGUCUGACGGAGCAACGCCGCGUGAGUGAUGAAGGUUUUCGGACUGUAAAGCUCUGUUGUUUAGGACGAAAGUGCCUGUUGCAAAUAGUUACAGGUAUUGACGGUACUGAACGAGGAAGCCACGGCUAACUACGUGCCAGCAGCCGCGGUAAUACGUAGGUGGCAAGCGUUGUCCGGAAUUAUUGGGCGUAAAGAGCAUGUAGGCGGGAAUCUAAGUCUGUUGUGAAAAUGCGGGGCUCAACCCCGUAUUGCGAUGGAAACUGGGUUUCUUGAGUGCAGGUGAGGAAAGGGGAAUUCCCAGUGUAGCGGUGAAAUGCGUAGAUAUUGGGAGGAACACCAGUGGCGAAGACGCCUUUCUGGACUGUGUCUGACGCUGAGAUGCGAAAGCCAGGGUAGCGAACGGGAUUAGAUACCCCGGUAGUCC